CGGAGAUGUGCAGAUGGAGACCUGGUGAGGUGGGACCUGACGCAGUGGAAAUCCAACUGCUUUCCUGAGCUUGACAACAACCUACAGUGUGCAUGGUCACACUACAAAAUCAAACUGUGGACAUCCAUGGUUCCCUCUACGGAGCCUGGGAAUUGUUCAAAGUCACUGGAGGAAGUCACACAAAACUGGUUGCAGAGCAUCCUCCCUGACAACAUCUCAGUGCAGGACAUCCUUGUGUCAUCCCCAUGGUAACACAACUUUUGUUUGCUAAACACUCCUGUCAGCUAGUAGGACCUUGAGGUACUUAGUUUGAAUAGCAAAACAGCAAC